rnacentral:tRNA from 1 species
GCGGGCGUGGCGGAAUUGGCAGACGCGCUGGUUUUAGGUACCAGUUCUUCGGAGUGUGGGUUCGAGUCCCGCCGCCCGCACCG